UUGAUCCUGCCGGACCUGACUGCUAUCGGAUUGAUACUAAGCCAUGCGAGUCAUUGUACUAAUACAAGGCAGACGGCUCAGUAACGCGUAGUCAACCUAACCUAUGGACGAGGGAUAAUCUCGGGACAACUGACGCAUAACUACCCCGAUACGAACCAUUACUGCCUAGGAACUGGUUUAUGUUCCACACACUCGACUUCUAUCGCCGUAGGACUGGGACCUGCGGCCUAAUCACGCUUCGUUGGUCGACGGAUAAAUGGCACACACCAAAGACUAUUACAAGAGAUACAGGGCUCAUGACGAGGAGUAGCCCAGAGAGAUGAGGUACUGAGACACAGAGACCCAAGGCCCUAUGGGAGCAGCAGCAAGAGCGAGAAAACUUCUGCAAUGUGCGAACAGCACGACAAGGUUAAUCCGAGCUGGUUUCUGCUACAAGGAACCUUUUGACAGUCCUAGAAACACUGUUGAAUAAGGGGUGGGCAAGAUU
rnacentral:rRNA from 1 species